UCAGAGUUUAGGGGAGUUUUGCAUACCAGUUCAAAGAUGCCAAGGGUGGAAAGGUUUUAGACAGCAAGGAACAGACAGGAAAUGCCAGUUCCGAGUCUCAACCCCACCUCUUGUGAAAGGAGACAGUGUAUUCUCAUUCCUAACGCCUCUCUCCUUUCCCUCUCCCUCUCUCUCUUACCAACGGAGCCAUAUCACCCGCCUACAGAUCUGUCUUCUGUGUUGUCCACAGAAAACAGUGAUUUAGGAAGUGAGAGGUGCCUGUUCAUUACCUGAUAGGAGUCAUCCUGUCUACAUUCGUACUGGUGUUGGGAAACAAGGGAUGGGCUCUGAGUUAUAAAAUCUCCAGGUGAAACAAGAAGGCCUUAGGAUGGAGGCAUCUGUCAUCCAGAGCAUUACAAGUUGUGUUCUGUGAUGGUCCCUGCUAAUAUCCAAUUGCUCAACAAUUGCUGGCCUAAACCUGGAGGCUUUCCUUACAUAAAGUCAGGCCAACAGGAACAAAAUGGGUGUGUGAAUGUUUCUCCUGACAAACAGAUAAAGUGUCAAGCUAGGUUCCCAAGUUCUGGCUUCUUGUGAGACCAGCCUUAAUCCAGAGUAGGGUCUCCUAAAACCAAGAGCCCCAGGACAAGAGUCCAGUUACCUAGGGUAAGACACCAUCAUCCUGAGGUACCUCUCAAUACCUCUCCUCUCCUGGGACUGCUUCCCUGCCUCUUACAUGUCUGGAUGCCUUCUCUCCUGCAGCUCUAAAGUCUGAUCUCUCUGCUUCCCCAUCAUGGUGAUUCUACUCCUUCCAGUCGUCCCUAGCCCAGGAAAUCUAAAGGUCCAGCCUUUGUCUCUCUGCCCAGCCAUUGGCCAACGGCAACUCUUUAUUUCACCAAUCAAAGCCAACUGGGGGCAGGGCCCUUCAGUGUCUUACAGGUAGAUAUGCCGGUUCCUGUGUAAUUAACUUUGUAUUAAUAUAAAUAGCAUUAGAACCAAUCCCCAACAGGUCUGAGCUGAGGGUUGUCAUCACUCUGGAAGAGGAUGGUGCAUUAGUAAGUUUUCUCAUUGCUGUGAUGAAACACCAGACUAAAGCAACUUAAAGAAGGAAGAUUUGCUUUCCCUUGGAGUUUGAAGGAAGGCCUGGCAGCAGGAACCUGAGGCAACCGUGACAUCUACUGUAAGGAAACAGACAGAAGAGCUCAGGCAGGGUCUCUCCCUGAGCCUGGGGCUCCCAAGUUCUCAGCUAGGCUAGAAUGCAGCAAGCUCCAGCCAUCUUCCCAUCUCCAUCCUUCAUCCCUGGAGCUGGGAUUACAGCACACACAAAAAAAGAGGACGAAGAAGAGGAGGAGAAAGAGGAGAA